UACGUAGGGAGCGAGUGUUGUCCGGAAUCACUGGUCGUAAAGGGCGCGUAGGCGGUUUUACAAGUUGCAUGUGAAAUACCAUGGAUCAACCAUGGGGUGUCAUGCAAAACUGUAGGGCUUGAGUGCAGUAGAGGAAAGCGGAAUUCCUGGUGUAGCGGUAAAAUGCGUAGAGAUCAGGAGGAACACCGGUGGCGAAGGCGGCUUUCUGGGCUGUAACUGACGCUGAGGCGCGAAAGCGUGGGGAGCGAACAGGAUUAGAUACCCUGGUAGUCCACGCGGUAAACGAUGAAUAUUAGGUGUAGGCCUUUAAGGUCUGUGCCGGAGCAAACGCAAUAAAUAUUCCGCCUGGGGAGUACGGCCGAAAGGUUGAAACUCAAAGGAAUUGACGGGACCCCGCACAAGCAGCGGAGCAUGUUGUUUAAUUCGAAGCAACGCGAAGAACCUUACCAGGGCUUGACAUCCUACAAAUCUGCCAGAGAUGGCGGAGUGCCCUUCGGGGAAUGUAGAGACAGGUGGUGCAUGGUUGUCGUCAGCUCGUGUCGUGAGAUGUUGGGUUAAGUCCCGCAACGAGCGCAACCCUUACAUUUAGUUGCCAGCACGUAAAGGUGGGAACUCUAAAUGGACAGCCGGGGUAAUCCGGAGGAAGGUGGGGACGACGUCAAAUCAUCAUGCUCCUUACGUCCUGGGCUACAAACGUGCUACAAUGCCCACAACAAAGGGAAGCAAGACCGUAAGGUGGAGCGAAACCGAGAAAAGUGGUCCCAGUUCGGAUUGAGGGCUGCAACCCGCCCUCAUGAAGUUGGAGUUGCUAGUAAUCGCGAGUCAGCAUAUCGCGGUGAAUACGUUCCCGGGGUU
rnacentral:rRNA from 1 species